GGCCCCUCCCGUGGGUGUCACAGAGACCGAUACCGGUCCCGCUCCCCGGGAAGGAGUGGGUCUGGGUCCAGUCCGCAGGACCCCCUCGCGGAUGCUGACGCAGAAUGGAGUUGAGUCCCAGCCGCGGCCCCUUUAAGAGGGGGUGGUGCUUCAGCCUGGCGCCAGGGACGCUGCCAGCAUGCAGGCCCCGACGGAAGCCGAGACUGCGCUUCGUGCGAGGCCCGGGCAGCAUCGGCGGCGUGGUCAGAGCGAGUCUCGGAGAAGAUGUGGUGGCUUCCGUUUGUUGGUGGAGGAGGUGGCAGGCCUCGGCGGGUAACCCAGAGAACACAGCCGAAGUGGAAUGUGGGGACGUCUGCGACACCGGGGACAGAGCAACUGUGGAUGAAGAGGGCUACAUCUGGUUCCUGGGGAGGAGUCAUGACACUAUCAAUGCCUCUGGGUGGUGAAGGCAUUGAUUGUCCUGACCCCACAGUUUCUGUCCCAUGACAAGGACCAGCUGACUAAGGAGCUGCAGCAGCAUGUAAAGUCAGUGACAGCCCCAUGUUGUAAGGGAAGCAUGGCACCAGCAUCUGCUUCUGAUGAGGGCCUCAGGAAGCUUCCCAUCAUGGCAUAUGGCAAAGAGGGAGCAAGCAAAUCAUGGUGAGAAAGGAAGCAAGAGUGAGCGGGAGGAAAUGCCAGGCUCUUUUGAUCAGCCGGAUCUCGCAUGAAGUCAUAGAGUGAGAACUCAUUCAUUACUGCAGGACAACACCAAGUCAUUUGUGAAGAUUCCAUCCCCGUGACCCAAACACCUCCGGGUAGGCCCACCUCCAACACUGGAGGUCACAUUUCAACAUGAGAUUUGGAGGGGACAAACAUCUAAACCAUAUCAAGAUUUUUCAUUUAUUUGUCUAAAUUGAUUCCUAUGUAUUUCAUAUUUUUGUAGCUAUUGUAAAUGAGAUUGCUUUCUUGAUUUCUUUUUUCAGAUUAUUCACCAUUGACAUAUAUAAAUGCUACUAAUUUCUGUAUGUUGAGUUUGUAUCCAGCAACUUACUGAAUUAGUUUACCAGUUCUAGCAGUUUUUUGGUGGAGUCUUUAGGUUUUUCUAAGUGUAAGUUCAUGUCAUCUGUGAACAAGGCUAUGAUUUCUUUCUUUCCAAUUUUAGUACUCUUUAUUUUUUUCCCUUGCCUAAUUGCUCUUCCAGGACUUCCAAUAUUAUGUUAAAUAAAAGUGGUGAAAAGUGAGCAUCCUUGUCUUAUUCCAGAUGUUAGAAGAAAGGUUUUCAAUAUACAAUGUUAGCUGUGUGUUUGUCAUCUACGGCCUAUGUUAUUUUGAGGUAUGUUUCUUCUAUACCCAGUUUGCUGAGGAUUUUUACUAUAAAGGUAUGUUGAAUUUUAUUGGAUGAUUUUUCAAUAUCUAUUGAAAUGGUCAUAUGGCUUCUGUUCUUGGUUCUGUUAAUGUGAUGUAUCACAUUUAUUGAUUUGCGUAUGUUGAAUCAUCCUUGAAUUCCUGGGAUGAAUUUUACUUGAUCAUGGUGAAUUAUUUUUUAACAUGUUGUUGAAGUUCACUAGUAUUUUGUUGAGAAUUUUUGCAUCUAUGUUUAUGCUUGAUAUUGGCCUGUGGUUUUCUUUUUUGUGUGUAUUUAUCUGGUUUUGGUAUCAGAGUAAUGCUGACUUUCUAGAAUAAGUUUAGAAGUAUUCCCUCCUCUUCAAUUUUUUGAAGCACUUUCUUGAAUAUAAUUAGUAUUAUUUCUUUUUUUUUUUUUUUGAGACAGAGUCUCACUCCAUCGCCCAGGCUGGAGUGCAACGGCGCCAUCUGGGCUCACUGCAACCUCCACCUCCUGGGUUCUAGGGAUUCUCAUGCCUCAGCCUCCUGAGUAGCUGGGACUACAGACAUCCAC
rnacentral:lncRNA from 1 species